AUUGAACGCUGGCGGCAGGCCUAACACAUGCAAGUCGAGCGGAGCGGCGGACGGGUGAGUAAUGCCUAGGAAUCUGCCUGGUAGUGGGGGAUAACGUCCGGAAACGGGCGCUAAUACCGCAUACUAUCAGAUGAGCCUAGGUCGGAUUAGCUAGUUGGUGGGGUAAAGGCCUACCAAGGCGACGAUCCGUAACUGGUCUGAGAGGAUGAUCAGUCAAACUGGAACUGUGAAACGGUCCAGACUACUGAAGGAGGCAGCAGUGGAGAAUAUUGGGCAAUGGGCGAAAGCCUGAUACAGACAUGCCGCGUGAGUGAAGAAGGUCUUCGGAUUGUAAAGGGCUUUAAGUUGGGAGGCGGUACCAACAGAAUAAGCACCAGCUAACUUCGUGCCAGCAGCCGCGGUAAUAC
rnacentral:rRNA from 1 species